AAUUUAUUCUACUCAAGCAAUCAGUGGAUGCCUUGGCAGUAAAAGCCGAAGAAGGACGUUUCAAGUCUGCGAAAGUGAUCGGGGAGGUGACAAGAACUUAUGAUCCGGUCGUGUCCGAAUGGGGAAACCUGGCCAGAUUUAUCUGGUCGCCUACGCCUUUUGGCGAGGUGGGAACCUCCUGAACUGAAAUAUCUAAGUAAGGAGAGGAAAAGAAAUCGAAUG
rfam:Candidatus Collierbacteria bacterium RIFOXYD1_FTLL_40_9 rifoxyd1_full_scaffold_17204, whole genome shotgun sequence.